GGUGGGAGUAAUGGAGAGGAGAGUGGUGUUAUUACCAAGGUGAGAGUAAUGGAGAGGACAGUGGUGUUGUUACCAAGGUGGGAGUAAUGGAGAGGACAGUGGUGUUUCUACCAAGGUGGGAGUACUGUAGAGGACAGUGGUGUUGUUACCAAGGAGGGAGUACUGGAGAGGACAGUGGUGUUUCUACCAAGGUGGGAGUACUGUAGAGGACAGUGGUGUUGUUACCAAGGAGGGAGUACUGGAGAGGACAGUGGUGUUUCUACCAAGGUGGGAGUACUGUAGAGGACAGUGGUGUUGUUACCAAGGAGGGAGUACUUGAGAGGACAGUGGUGUUGUUACCAAGGUGGGAGUAAUGGAGAGGACAGUGGUGUUGUUACCAAGGUGGGAGUAAUGGAAAGGACAGUGGUGUUGUUACCAAGGUGGGAGUAGUAGUGAGGACAGUGGUGUUGUUAGAGGAGAGAGGAGGAUAUCAGACCUGAAGAACAGUCCUCCCAGUGAGAGGUGGAUAUCAGACCUGAAGAACAGUCCUCA
ensembl:lncRNA